rnacentral:misc_RNA from 1 species
UACAGAGGCCCCAAGCAUUAUCCGGAAUCACUGGGCGUAAAGGGUGUGUAGGCGGCUUUGUUAGUCUUUCGUAAAAGCCCGCGGGCUCAACCCGUGGAAUGCGGAGGAAACGGCAUAGCUCGAGGGUGCGAGAGGUAGAGGGAACUCAUGGUGUAGGGGUGAAAUCCGUUGAUAUCAUGGGGAACACCAAAUGCGAAGGCACUCUACUGGCGCACUUCUGACGCUGAGACACGAAAGCGUGGGUAGCGAACGGG